GCUGCCGUGGACCGUGGUGGUCACCCUCACCUCAUAAUGUAGGUUUUUUCAGUGAAGAGGGAGCCGGAGGUUCGAAUCCUCCCGGCGGCA